ACAAUCCCAAGAUGCAGCCAGUGCUAUUUCUCCUACUCGUCCUCGCUUGCUUGGCUGGAAUGGUCCUCUCUAUUGACCGGGAUUCUCCUGAAUUCAAAAAGGGAGAAGAGGACAGGAAAAAAUGGUGCCAACUUAACUUCGGCCCUGCUUGGGGCGGACGAGGAUGCCGUUAAAUAACCGUUUAUUUCCAAAAAAUAAAUGAGUUGAAUUGAUGCUACCCGGAGGCGGAUUCAAAUCUUAUUGAAUCCGUCUGUGGUUCUAGCCAAUUUCGAGAGCAUUAUA